GGUUAAGCGACUAAGCGUACACGGUGGAUGCCUAGGCAAUCAGAGGCGAUGAAGGACGUGCUAAUCUGCGAAAAGCGUCGGUAAGGUGAUAUGAACCGCUAUAGCCGACGAUGUCCGAAUGGGGAAACCCAGUGCAAUUCGUUGCACUAUCGUUUGAUGAAUCCAUAGUCAAACGAGGCGAACCGAGGGAACUGAAACAUCUCAGUACCUCGAGGAAAAGAAAUCAACCGAGAUUCCCCUGGUAGCGGCGAGCGAACGGGGAGCAGCCCAGAGUCUUAAUCAGCAUCAGCAUCAGGAGAACGGUCUGGAAAGUCCGGCAGUAAAGGGUGAUAGCCCCGUAUCCGAAGGUGUUGGUGUUGUGAACUCGACGAGUAGGGCGGGACACGUGUUAUCCUGUCUGAAUAUGGGGGGACCAUCCUCCAAGGCUAAAUACUCCUGAUUGACCGAUAGUGAACCAGUACCGUGAGGGAAAGGCGAAAAGAACCCCGGCGAGGGGAGUGAAAUAGAACCUGAAACCGUGUACGUACAAGCAGUGGGAGCACCUUUUAGGUGUGACUGCGUACCUUUUGUAUAAUGGGUCAGCGACUUAUAUUCUGUAGCAAGGUUAACCGUAUAGGGGAGCCGUAGGGAAACCGAGUCUUAACUGGGCGAAUAAGUUGCAGGGUAUAGACCCGAAACCCGGUGAUCUAGCCAUGGGCAGGUUGAAGGUUGGGUAACACUAACUGGAGGACCGAACCGACUAAUGUUGAAAAAUUAGCGGAUGACUUGUGGCUGGGGGUGAAAGGCCAAUCAAACCGGGAGAUAGCUGGUUCUCCCCGAAAGCUAUUUAGGUAGCGCCUCGUGAACUCAUCUUCGGGGGUAGAGCACUGUUUCGGCUAGGGGGUCAUCCCGACUUACCAACCCGAUGCAAACUACGAAUACCGAAGAAUGUUAUCACGGGAGACACACGGCGGGUGCUAACGUUCGUCGUGAAGAGGGAAACAACCCAGACCGCCAGCUAAGGUCCCAAAGUUAUGGUUAAGUGGGAAACGAAGUGGGAAGGCUCAGACAGCCAGGAUGUUGGCUUAGAAGCAGCCAUCAUUUAAAGAAAGCGUAAUAGCUCACUGGUCGAGUCGGCCUGCGCGGAAGAUGUAACGGGGCUAAACCAUGCACCGAAGCUGCGGCAGCGACAUUUAGAUGUUGUUGGGUAGGGGAGCGUUCUGUAAGCCUGUGAAGGUGUGCUGUGAGGCAUGCUGGAGGUAUCAGAAGUGCGAAUGCUGACAUAAGUAACGAUAAUGCGGGUGAAAAACCCGCACGCCGGAAGACCAAGGGUUCCUGUCCAACGUUAAUCGGGGCAGGGUGAGUCGACCCCUAAGGCGAGGCAGAAAUGCGUAGUCGAUGGGAAACAGGUUAAUAUUCCUGUACUGGUGAUAAUUGCGAUGGGGGGACGGAGAAGGCUAGGCUGGCCGGGCGACGGUUGUCCCGGUUUAAGGAUGUAGGCAGGUGAAUUAGGCAAAUCCGGUUCACUACAUGCUGAGGUCUGAUGACGAGUCACUACGGUGGCGAAGUAGCUCAUGCCCCGCUUCCAGGAAAAGCCUCUAAGCUCUAGAUUAUCAUUAAUCGUACCCCAAACCGACACAGGUGGUCAGGUAGAGAAUACUCAGGCGCUUGAGAGAACUCGGGUGAAGGAACUAGGCAAAAUGGUGCCGUAACUUCGGGAGAAGGCACGCUGGCGCUAGGUGAAGUCCCUCGCGGAUGGAGCUGAAGCCAGUCGCAGAUACCAGCUGGCUGCAACUGUUUAUUAAAAACACAGCACUGUGCAAACACGAAAGUGGACGUAUACGGUGUGACGCCUGCCCGGUGCUGGAAGGUUAAUUGAUGGGGUUAUCCGUAAGGAGAAGCUCUUGAUCGAAGCCCCAGUAAACGGCGGCCGUAACUAUAACGGUCCUAAGGUAGCGAAAUUCCUUGUCGGGUAAGUUCCGACCUGCACGAAUGGCGUAAUGAUGGCCAGGCUGUCUCCACCCGAGACUCAGUGAAAUUGAACUCGCUGUGAAGAUGCAGUGUACCCGCGGCAAGACGGAAAGACCCCGUGAACCUUUACUAUAGCUUGACACUGAACAUUGAGCCUUGAUGUGUAGGAUAGGUGGGAGGCUUUGAAGUGUGGACGCCAGUCUGCAUGGAGCCAACCUUGAAAUACCACCCUUUAAUGUUUGAUGUUCUAACGUGGCCCCAUCAUCUGGGGUGCGGACAGUGUCUGGUGGGUAGUUUGACUGGGGCGGUCUCCUCCCAAAGAGUAACGGAGGAGCACGAAGGUUGGCUAAGCAUGGUCGGACAUCAUGCGGUUAGUGCAAAGGCAUAAGCCAGCUUGACUGCGAGAGUGACGGCUCGAGCAGGUACGAAAGUAGGUCUUAGUGAUCCGGUGGUUCUGAAUGGAAGGGCCAUCGCUCAACGGAUAAAAGGUACUCCGGGGAUAACAGGCUGAUACCGCCCAAGAGUUCAUAUCGACGGCGGUGUUUGGCACCUCGAUGUCGGCUCAUCACAUCCUGGGGCUGAAGUAGGUCCCAAGGGUAUGGCUGUUCGCCAUUUAAAGUGGUACGCGAGCUGGGUUUAGAACGUCGUGAGACAGUUCGGUCCCUAUCUGCCGUGGGCGUUGGAAGAUUGAAAGGGGCUGCUCCUAGUACGAGAGGACCGGAGUGGACGCACCACUGGUGUUCGGGUUGUCAUGCCAAUGGCACUGCCCGGUAGCUAAGUGCGGAAGAGAUAACCGCUGAAAGCAUCUAAGCGGGAAACUUGCCUUGAGAUGAGUCUUCCCUGACUCUUUAAGGGUCCUAAAGGAACGUUUAAGACUAAGACGUUGAUAGGCUGGGUGUGUAAGCGUAGCGAUACGUUGAGCUAACCAGUACUAAUGAACCGUGAGGCUUAACCUG
rnacentral:rRNA from 1 species